rnacentral:rRNA from 1 species
AUUGAACGCUGGCGGCAUGCUUUACACAUGCAAGUCGAGCGGCAGCGCGGGGGCAACCUUGGCGGCGAGCGGCGAACGGGUGAGUAACGCAUCGGAACGUAUCCUGUAGUGGGGGAAUAACUCACCGAAAGGUGAGCUAAUACCGCAUAAGCUCUGAGGAGGAAAGCGGGGGGACCGAAAGGCCUCGCGCUGCAGGAGCGGCCGAUGUCCGAUUAGCUAGUUGGUGAGGUAAGGGCUCACCAAGGCGACGAUCGGUAGCUGGUCUGAGAGGAUGAUCAGCCACACUGGGACUGAGACACGGCCCAGACUCCUGCGGGAGGCAGCAGUGGGGAAUUUUGGACAAUGGGGGAAACCCUGAUCCAGCCAUGCCGCGUGAGUGAAGAAGGCCUCGGUGUAAGCUCUUCGGUACGGAACGAAACGGACGGGCGUCUAACA